rnacentral:rRNA from 1 species
UAGUUGUGGGGUCCUUUCCNCGGAUUCCCGUGACGCAGCUAACGCAUUAAGUUCCCCGCCUGGGGAGUACGGCCGCAAGGCUAAAACUCAAAGGAAUUGACGGGGACCCGCACAAGCGGCGGAGCAUGCGGAUUAAUUCGAUGCAACGCGAAGAACCUUACCAAGGCUUGACAUACACGAGAACACCCUAGAAAUAGGGGACUCUUUGGACACUCGUGAAACAGGUGGUGCAUGGUUGUCGUCAGCUCGUGUCGUGAGAUGUUGGGUUAAGUCCCGCAACGAGCGCAACCCUCGUUCUAUGUUGCCAGCACGUAAUGGUGGGAACUCAUGGGAUACUGCCGGGGUCAACUCGGAGGAAGGUGGGGAUGACGUCAAAUCAUCAUGCCCCUUAUGUCUUGGGCUUCACGCAUGCUACAAUGGCCGGUACAAAGGGCUGCAAUACCGUGAGGUGGAGCGAAUCCCAAAAAGCCGGUCCCAGUUCGGAUUGAGGUCUGCAACUCGACCUCAUGAAG